UUGAACGCUGGCGGCAUGCCUUACACAUGCAAGUCGCACGGUAACGGGCCUUCGGGUGCCGACGAGUGGCGAACGGGUGAGUAAUACAUCGGAACGUGCCCGAUCGUGGGGGAUAACGAGGCGAAAGCUUUGCUAAUACCGCAUACGAUCUACGGAUGAAAGCAGGGGACCGCAAGGCCUUGCGCGGACGGAGCGGCCGAUGGCAGAUUAGGUAGUUGGUGGGAUAAAAGCUUACCAAGCCGACGAUCUGUAGCUGGUCUGAGAGGAUGAUCAGCCACACUGGGACUGAGACACGGCCCAGACUCCUACGGGAGGCAGCAGUGGGGAAUUUUGGACAAUGGGCGCAAGCCUGAUCCAGCCAUGCCGCGUGCAGGAUGAAGGCCUUCGGGUUGUAAACUGCUUUUGUACGGAACGAAAAGCCUUCUUUUAAUACAGGAGGGUCAUGACGGUACCGUAAGAAUAAGCACCGGCUAACUACGU
rnacentral:rRNA from 1 species